AUUGAACGCUGGCGGCAGGCCUAACACAUGCAAGUCGAGCGGAGCGGCGGACGGGUGAGUAAUGCCUAGGGAUCUGCCUGGUAGUGGGGGAUACCGUCCGGAAGCGGGCGCUCAUACCGCAUACUAGCAGAUGAGUCUAGGUCGGAUUAGCUAGGUGGUGGGGUAAAGGCCUACCCGGGCGACGACCCGUAACUGGUCUGAGAGGAUGAUCAGUCACACUGGAACUGAGACACGGUCCAGACUCCUACGGGAGGCAGCAGUGGGGAAUAUUGGACAAUGGGCGAAAGCCUGAUCCAGCCAUGCCGCGUGUGUGAAUAAGGUCUUCGGAUUGUAAAGCACUUUAAGUUGGGAGGCGUUACCAACAGAAUAAGCACCGGCUAACUACGUGCCAGCCGCCGCGGUAAUAC
rnacentral:rRNA from 1 species